GGGACAAUUAUUGCAAACUCUAUCAACUAAUACAUGUUCAGCUAAGGGUUUUGACACUCUAAUCACAAACUCGGUAAACUCAAUAGGCAAGCUCUUACUAGUUAUCAAUUUCACACAAACAUAAGAAUGGGUCGAUCUAGGAUCAAUCAAUGCAACUAAAUUAGUAUUAUAGAGAGAAAAAGUACCAAUGAUAACAUCGGGAGAUGUCGCUUCUUCAUGAGCACAGAUGGCAUAGGCUCUAAUAAGUGCUCGAGCUUCGGAUCUCACAGCUGAAUCCUUCAUCACACCUUUACUACUAGUUCCAUUUCUGGUAUUUCUCGAUGCCCUACCCCUCUUAGUAGUAUUACUCGGCCUUG
rnacentral:lncRNA from 1 species